GACGUUUCAAGAUAUUGAACAAUCGGGCUCUAUUGAAUGACAUUGUAUAUCAGAGUAUCCUGACGAGUUACGAGUGGUCAGCAAGGUUAUGUACAGUAUUUUGUCGCUUUUAUUUUUGUGUUGAUGUUUCAAGUUUAAACCUGUGAUUCGCUCUUGGGUGUGAGAGCACCGCAACUAUGACCAUGGUUUUCAUGGUUUUAAACUAUUGCAAUGUAAAAUAUGAAAAUAAAUACACAAUCAAUGUA